rnacentral:rRNA from 1 species
UACGUAGGGCGCAAGCGUUGUCCGGAAUUAUUGGGCGUAAAGAGCUCGUAGGCGGCUUGUCACGUCGGGUGUGAAAGCCCGGGGCUUAACCCCGGGUCUGCAUUCGAUACGGGCUGGCUGGAGUGUGGUAGGGGAGAUCGGAAUUCCUGGUGUAGCGGUGAAAUGCGCAGAUAUCAGGAGGAACACCGAUGGCGAAGGCAGGUCUCUGGGCCACUACUGACGCUGAGAAGCGAAAGCAUGGGGAGCGAACAGG